rnacentral:tRNA from 1 species
GGGCUUGUGGUUUAGUGGUAUAAUACUCCCUUAGCAUAACCGGAUGGUCUGUUCAGAGCAGCGUCCGUGUAAGCUUGGGAGUGGUCCGGGGUUCGAUUCCCCGCGAGUCCA